rnacentral:pre_miRNA from 1 species
AGUAGAAUUGGUUGGUCAUAUGGAAGCUCUAUGUUUAAUAUUUGGAAGAACUAACAAAAUGUUUUUCAAAGUGGCUGCACCAUUUUAUGUUCCCACUAUCAAU